rnacentral:rRNA from 1 species
AGUGAACGCUGGCGGCAGGCCUAACACAUGCAAGUCGAGCGGCAGCGCGGGGGCAACCCUGGCGGCGAGCGGCGGACGGGUGAGGAAUUCGUCGGAAUCUGCCUUUUUGUGGGGGAUAACGUAGGGAAACUUACGCUGAUACCGCAUACGUCCUACGGGAGAAAGUGGGGGACCGCAAGGCCUCACGCAGAAAGAUGAGCCGACGACCGAUUAGCUAGUUGGUGGGGUAAAGGCCCACCAAGGCGACGAUCGGUAGCUGGUCUGAGAGGAUGAUCAGCCACACGGGAACUGGGACACGGCCCAGACUCCUACGGGAGGCAGCAGUGGGGAAUAUUGGACAAUGGGCGCAAGCCUGAUCCAGCCAGGCCGCGUGUGUGAAGAAGGCCUUCGGGUUGUAAAGCACUUUUGUCCGGAAAGAAAUCCCUGGAGCUAAUACCUUCGGGGGAUGACGGUACCGGAAGAAUAAGCACCGGCUAACUUCGUG